UACGGAGGGUGCAAGCGUUGUCCGGAUUUAUUGGGUUUAAAGGGUGCGUAGGUGGUCAUUUAAGUCUGAUUUGAAAGCAAGCGGCUUAACCGUUUGAUGUGGUUGGAAACUGAAUGACUUGAAUGGGUUGGCGGUAGCCGGAAUGGGUCAUGUAGCGGUGAAAUGCAUAGAUAUGACCCGGAACACCGAUUGCGAAGGCAGGCUACUACGACUUGAUUGACACUGAGGCACGAGAGCAUGGGUAGCGAACAGG
rnacentral:rRNA from 1 species